UACGAAGGGGGCUAGCGUUGUUCGGAUUUACUGGGCGUAAAGCGCACGUAGGCGGACCGUUAAGUCAGGGGUGAAAUCCUGGAGCUCAACUCCAGAACUGCCUUUGAUACUGGCGAUCUUGAGUCCGGAAGAGGUGAGUGGAACUCCUAGUGUAGAGGUGGAAUUCGUAGAUAUUAGGAAGAACACCAGUGGCGAAGGCGGCUCACUGGUCCGGUACUGACGCUGAGGUGCGAAAGCGUGGGGAGCAAACAGG
rnacentral:rRNA from 1 species